AGAUAAGGAAAGAUUUGGAUAAUCCCUAUCCAUUAAUGACUUAGAGAGCAAGUUUUGCACUUUAGCAAAACAACUCUCUCUCUCUUCUUCCCCCCACCAUUUUCGUCCAACACCACUUCUCUCUCCCCCCUCACUUCUUUCUCUUUCUACCACCAUGGAUAACCAAUCUCCAAGCUUCACAAAUCACCUCUCUACUUAGAUCUACAUCAAAUCAAAGCAUAAACUUCAUAUCCAUGAAUCAAGAGCAACUUUGGAGGAUUUUAAAGCUUGAGUCAAGAAGAGGAGAUUUUGUUUUUCUACUCAUAAAUCCUUGAGUAAGUGCUAGAUUUACUUAUAUCUAAUCAUAUUUGAGUUAUAUAUGUGUUUAUAUGAAUGAAAAUAGCAUGAAAAAUCCCACCUUUAUUUUUUCAUUAUUUUCGAAAAAUUGGGGUUAAUACCCUUCAAAAAAAAUUAAUCUUCUCAGAAGUGUUUCUUGUGGUUCCUGCCUGAUGUCCAUCAAGGAAAUUGGUGUUUUCCCCACCCGCUUUGCGCUGGCAAACUGUCUCAUGAACAUGAGAUGAAGAUCAUCAUAUGAGUAUAUAGAAUUACUUCUCAGAUUGUUGAACCAUCGCUGGGCCAUGCCCGAUAGAGUCAUGGCGAAGAUCCUGCAUUAUAUUCCCUCCCCAUACUGAUGUAGCGCCGCCAGCCCCUCGAAACGAGCUAUAUGCACCUCCGGAUCUGUGGUGCCAUCAUAAUCCAAUGAGAUGGGGCGGUAAUUUGCUAGUAGGGGUUCCAACAAUAUUUCCUCCGAGAAAGGGCUCUUGUGAGUAGGUGUUGAUAUAGGGAUGUCGGAGUGGUGUCCCUCCCGGUCUCUUGUGAAGAUGGUAUCAUUCGGCCUGCGCCGACUUCUUUUGAGGAGCUCCCUCCGAGGCUCUUCAGGUCUCAGUCCGUGCUGGUCGGGGAAUUUGUUCACCUCUGUGUUAUGAUCGUAUUCUCUGACUUCUGUCUCCAGACUUUUCAGCUGGUCUCGGAGGAAAGAUACUUUUUCCUUCAACCUGUCAUUGUUCUUGUGUGCCCCUAAGCUGCGCUGCGGAGUGGUCCCGCUGGUUGAAUCAGUCACAUCUUCGAUCUGGACACUGUUCGUAACAAACUUCCGCUUGUUCUUUCCUCCUUCUUCUCCUCUGUCUAUUCCUGUUUGAGCGGCCAUCGCUGUCUCUCCUCCCCCUGCCUGCGCAGGCACGGUUGCUGUUUUCUGAGCGGCUAUGAUUCCCUCUGGCGAGGCUGCUGGCUGAGUAAUGCCCAUUAAAGAGCGAAUAGUUGCAUAGUUGAGCAUAACCAAAACUUGGUCAUUGAUAGGGACAUUGGUUGGCCCUGGUGCUGUAGUGAUAGUUACCACGGCGGGCAUAUUUGCUCCCAUAUUAGAUUGUACAGAAGCAGGGAUCAUGUUGUUGAUCGUAGUGAAACCCGGCGGCGUAAGCCCAGUCAAGUCGACUCCCUUAGUCGAUGUGUCGUCAGUAGGUUUGGCAGAUGUGUUCCCUGUAGCGGCUUCGAAAUCCUUGUUUAGAUCCUUGCAGUGUUGAUGAGUUGCCAUUGUAAAGUACCUGUUCACUGCAUCGCAGUAAGAUAAGAAAUAAUGAGUCAAGGUUGCGCAGGCGGGCUGCGCAGAUGUCGCUGUGUUAUAUCGGAGGUAGGUGGGCCCAUAAGUAUUCCAAUAAAAGAUAAGCCCCAGAAAAACCCACGAACUUCGGCCCAUGGAACGAUUCUCGAUUAAAUGUACGAAAAUCCAUAGAUAGAAAGGAAUUUAUAGAAAUCCUCUUUGCAGUUCUUUCUGAGAUUAACAUCCUCCUCUUCUAGGAAAUAAACCCAGAAAAAAGGUGAAACAGAGUUCUCGUCGUUCAUAAUUAGGUAAAGGACAUUUCCGCAACGGAAGGUCCUCUCCGGUAGAAAAUGCUCUCGGAGAAGCACAAAGGUUAGCCAACAUAAACAGUGAAACAUCAAAAACACAGAAAGGGAGUUACCUCUCUGUAUUGCACCAGGAAUGCAUCAAAAUUAAGCAAGUAACAUUAAUGCACAACACGUAUGGAAAAGUUCAAAAAUUCAAAAACAGCACAGUUCCCAAAGAAAAAUUCAAAAAUGGCACAGUUCCCAAAAAAUAUUCGAAUAAACCGUCUCCUUCCCCUGCUAUUUCCCCUUCAUUCAUGCAAGGUGACAAAGGCCACCGAGAUUCCGAAAAUCCCAGUGGAUUGCCGAUACACACAACAAACAUACAUAUCACCCAUUAUAAACGCAAAAUAAGCCACGUUUAAACAUUUAUGCACAAAUCACUUGAUUAUUCCAUCCAUUUCUACGUAUAAACCUCAAAUGCGGUAAAGUAUAGCCAUAAACGCAGGCUUGGUAACGAGACCCCCCUUCUUCCCUUUGAUUUAUGCCAGGAUGAACAGAUCUAAACCAAAUAUGGACAAGGACACUCAGACACUCUCUCAAAUCUCAUGCCUUAGCCCAGAAUUUCCCACAGACGGCGCCAGUUGGUGAGGUUUAACGUUCAAACCUAUCUAAACUAGUCGGAAAAGGACGUCGGAAUCACCUGUAUCGCAGUGUGAGAGGGGAUUUGCUUGAAAACUUGCAGAUGAGAUUUCUUAAGAUAAAAAUUGCGUCUCAAAUAUUGGUUUACAGAGCGUAUUUAUAGGAUUACAUUAGGGCGAAGGGUAAAAUGGGCUUUUCGUGUCGUUCACGUACUCCACAUGCGGCGUACGUGAACAUUUCUCUCUCUACUAACAAACUUUCUAACUAUCUUGCAGCUUUUUGUUGAACACGUGCUAUUUUCCAGCUCUCAUCACUAGUUGUUUUCACUCCUUAAGUCUUCUCCGUAUGUUGCUUUUAGCGCUGCACUGUCCUCUCAAGUCUGCGCAGAUAUUUGGCGGCGCCGCUAUCACUUAUGAUAUGGCUUUGCUUCUUUCGAUCCGAGUGGGCUUGGGGUUUAAGCCAGCUUCUUUCUUAAUCUGCGCCGACAUUGAUCAUCGCCGUUGUGUUAUUUCGGUGAUCGUGUGGUGUAUUCACGCUUCUUGGGCCGAGUGUGUCCCGGGGCUAAGUCGGCGCCGCUAUCCUUGUUCGGGGUAGGAUGGCUGAUGGGAUCCUUACUCCUCAUCAAAAAAUGCUUUGGAGAGGCAUCUCAUUCCUGCGGCCGAUAUUCCCUACUCUCUGGCACCGAUCACAUGCAAGAGUGUGGUGACGCACUGAAUCACCAACACCUAAACUAGAAAUUANAAUUUCUCAGAAUUUAUUUUUCUGAGAUAUUUAUUUUUGGUCACUAAUGUGCAUAAUGUGACGUCUUGAUUUACUUAGUGAGUGAUUUGCUAAAUCACAUUUUCCCUACACAUUUUACUACACAAAUUUUACCAUUUACUAAUUAUUACCUUUUAACCUUUGGUAAUUAGUGCAAGUGGCCAAGUGGAUUAUCUAUUUAGCUCUAAUACAAUAUUUAAUUAUUUUAUUUGGAGAUAUUUUGGGCAAGUGAAGUAGUGAGCAAGCCACUUGCUUGGAGCAUUAAUUAUGAGAGAUAAGGAAAGAUUUGGAUAAUCCCUAUCCAUUAAUGACUUAGAGAGCAAGUUUUGCACUUUAGCAAAACAACUCUCUCUCUCUUCUUCCCCCACCAUUUUCGUCCAACACCACUUCUCUCUCCCCCUCACUUCUUUCUCUUUCUACCACCAUGGAUACCAAUCUCCAAGCUUCACAAAUCACCUCUCUACUUAGAUCUACAUCAAAUCAAAGCAUAAACUUCAUAUCCAUGAAUCAAGAGCAACUUUGGAGGAUUUUAAAGCUUGAGUCAAGAAGAGGAGAUUUUGUUUUUCUACUCAUAAAUCCUUGAGUAAGUGCUAGAUUUACUUAUAUCUAAUCAUAUUUGAGUUAUAUAUGUGUUUAUAUGAAUGAAAAUAGCAUGAAAAAUCCC
rnacentral:lncRNA from 1 species